GAAACCUCAUUCUUAUCCUCGGCCAUGGCUUCCUCUGUUCUCGCCGCCGCCAAGCCUCUCCUCCACCCUUCUCAUCCUCGUACUCCUCCUCCAUCUCGUGGCGCAGGUGGCCCUUCCCUCCGCCGGAGCCUCUCGGCCUCGCGUAGGAGCGCCGCGCUCAGGGUUCACGCCCUCAAAUGUGAACCGUCCAAGAUAGCUCCGCAAGCCGAUCGGGUACUCGUUCGUCUCGAGGAGCUCCCCGAGAAAUCUGCUGGUGGAGUACUACUUCCAAAGUCAGCUGUUAAGUUUGAACGGUAUCUAAUGGGUGAGAUUCUGUCUGUUGGCUCUGAUGUCACUGAGGUGGAAGCUGGGAAGAAGGUUCUUUUCUCAGACAUUAAUGCAUAUGAGGUGGACUUGGGGACGGACACGAAGCACUGUUUUUGCAAAGCCAGUGAUCUGCUAGCUGUUGUCGAGUAGAUAUCUAGUAAAUUUAUCAUGUUUGGUCUUCUUAGGUCUGCACGGUGAUCUAAGUUGAACUUCCUCAAAUUUUAUGUCUGCAUGAGAUUCUACCUGGAAUCCAGGUCAAUUAGUGGAUGUUCGAUGAAAGAUUACUUGCACAUGAAUAUAUUUUCUGAUAACGUUCACAAUCACAAGUAAAUGAUCAACAUAACAUUUGCAGGUGCAGUCUUUUUCUUCUUGGGUAACCUAGCCUUAGGAGUAUAAUGUUUGGAGAAGAACAGGUAUAUGUCUGUCCACUUCUUUGGGUAACCUAGCUUACAAGUGACAUACUGUUGCGGCAUUGUCAUGUUAGAUUGCAUGUAUAUGAUUUAGGGAAAAACCCUCCAUUUGUUUU